rnacentral:tRNA from 1 species
AAAAUUGUGGUGAAACGGUAUCAUACAGGUUGUGGCACCUGAGAUAUGGGUUCGAAUCCCAUCUGUUUUC